rnacentral:lncRNA from 1 species
GGGAUCUCCUCCCAGACCUGGACUAAAGCAUCCGCCAACUGCUGGACAGUCUGUGGUGCAACGUGGCGUUGGUGGAUGGAGCGAGACAUGAUGUCCCAGAUGUGCUCAAUUGGAUUCAGGUCUGGGGAACGGGCGGGCCAGUCCAUAGCAUCAAUGCCUUCCUUUUGCAGGAACUGCUGACAUACUCCAGCCACAUGAGGUCUAGCAUUGUCUUGCAUUAGGAGGAACCCAGGGCCAACCGCACCAGCAUAUGGUCUCACAAGGGGUCUGAGGAUCUCAUCUCGGUACCUAAUGGCAGUCAGGCUACCUCUGGCGAGUGUAACAGGAUAGGGGGAGAUCGCGAACGUCAGGUCUUCCCAGUAUGAAAAUGUGAUGCAAGGGCUUUUGUCAUCGACAGCCAUCAGUACCAUUAAGCCCUGCACAACUACCGUGCUGUUUCUCAUUUAACAACAGUAUGAAAAUGUGAUGCAAGGGCUUUUGUCAUCGACAGCCAUCAGUACCAUUAAGCCCUGCACAACUACCGUGCUGUUUCUCAUUUAACAACAGGAAUAAAUGAUGCUCAACUGGGACCGCUGGCUGAUGUGAUUUAUUAGGGAAAAAAAACACAACGCAAGGAGAGUACGCUAUACAUCUGUUACACUGGUGCCGUGACCCGGAUCAACUGCUUGGAAGGCAGCUAUGCUCACCACUAUACCACCAACGCGUGACUCGUCUUCUUGUCUUCGCCGGACGUCACGUGGAGGGAUCCGAGACCCGGCUUCAAGAAGUACUGCGGUUGCUGAUGCACGCCAGAGGCCUAGGUUUCGCAGUCUGCACAAGUGGAAUUCUCAGGGAGCUCCUGGUAGCAUGA